GGAUUGAUGGUGACUUCCAUAUAUACAUUCCUUGGAAAGCUGAACAAAAUCAGUGAGAAUUCUGUACCGUCAUCCUCAUUGCACUGAGGUCC
ensembl:snoRNA SNORD116 Small nucleolar RNA SNORD116